CGUAUAUACCCGAUGUCGUGAUGUCGGUCAGUAGCCGGUUGCCGGUUUCGUUUCGGUUCAGGAAUAAGUUCUGAACCCACAAACGACGUGCCUGCGGACUACGGGAACGAGAUCGGGCACGAUCCCGGACUUCGUUGUUGUCAUUUUCAAGCUCUGGCUCGCUCAUUUUUCCAAAAAAUUGAGAACCACAAAAAUUUUUACUUCUACUAAACACCGGCCGGCAAACGAUUCAAAAGAUAAACAAUGCACACUGCUGCGACCAAGGUGAUAACAUAGACUACCAUUAUAUGUGGAAGAUUUGGCUGUGGAAGCCAUGAUGGACGGAGUUUGGCAGAUGGGAAGGAAUGUUGUCGUGCGCUUUGUAUGGCUGGUAUUAUAGAAUCCGUUCGUAGCGGCGGCGUACGUCCCGACACUCAUUUUCCUAACGUACUAGAUGGUUGCUACAGUUAUUCACCGCGGCGUUGUAGGACAGGGCUCAAGAAAUGUGUUGCCUUCUCUAGAAUUUCACGUGAGCGCCAUACGUUCCCGCGACGAACGGAUUCAAUAAUACCAGCCUAUGAAGCUUAGGCAUCCAACUGUCAAAUGACGAUUUGCCCAGCAGUACUCGGCGUCCUGACCUGUAGCAAUUUAUUGAUUUUGAUCAACAUGUCAAACGGCAUACACACAGUCUGGUCGAAAAUUGAUGAGACACCAAGCAUGAAUAAUUUUGGCACAUGAAUUAUACGCACAUCUAGCUUGCGCUGGUCGCCGCCAGAUGCGCUAUUGAAUAUAAAAAUCACACCACGGAGUACGAUCAAUGUAGCCCGGCCUUAAGAUUUUCGCGCAUACAAUUAUGACGCACGAUGUGUGUGCCGCGGCGUAAUUCGCUACUCGUAUAGCCGUCUCGCUUCUUCUUGUGUGUGCUUUAUCGUUGCUCACCGCUUCAAGAACAUUGCUGCUCACACACACGUCAGUCUGUGGCAAACAUUUGGAGGGGGAGGUGUGUCGGUUUGCUCUAGAAAUCGUGUGUGAUUUUGGUGUUCUGAAUUUGGUUCCAUUGCUGUUUGUUUUAGCGAAAUUAAAAAGGUAAGAAUCAUCAACCGAUGUAAAAGUGUGAGAGUAAGAUAAUGCUGACGGUGACUGAUGCUUUUCUUUGUUUCUUUUCCUGCUUUCAUCCACUGAUGGCGUCGAGCAUCGCCGAGGGUGUGAUCGAAUGCGGAAAAUUCUAAACGAGGAGCUUCAUUCCGGAUUUUGUUUGCAAUAAGCACUGAACUCAUCCUCCAGCUUACAACGAACGGUCAACGGAUGAGGAAGGAGAGGAGGGACGGCAAAGGUACACGCACAAACGUGCACACAUCAGCCUUGUCGGAGAACGAGAACACGGGAGAGGGAGGCCGGCAACGUAUCGAACCUCUUCAUUUACGCUCCCUCGUGCGUUCGUGCGUGCGUGCGCGCGCCCGUCUAUGUGUGUGUGUGCAUGCCUGCGUGCGUGGCUGUGUGUGUUUAGCCGCUUCGCGUUAACGGGAUCCUACGGGAUCACUAUGCGAAAAACACCAAGAGAGGGAUACAGUAUUGGACAAGAAGAUAGGGCCUUUUUUUUCAACGCACCAUGCACAUGGGAAAGGUUUAUGUGUGGGUUGUAUGUGGUUGUGUGGUUGUGUGUGUGCGUGCGUGCGUGCGUGUGUGUGUGUGUGUGUGUGUGUGUGUGUGUGUGUGUGUGUGUGUGUGUGUGUGUGUGUGUGUGUGUGUGUGUGUGUGUGUGUGUGUGUGUGUGUGUGUGUGUGUGUGUGUGUGUGUGUGUGUGUGUGUGUGUGUGUGUGUGUGUGUGUGUGUGUGUGUGUGUGUGUGUGUGUUUGUGUUUGUGUUUGUGUAUCGAUAUAUUAACAAUCUUACGGUCUUCCUUUGCCAUGGUUUUCCGAGGACGUCCGGGUGACUUGCGCGUUUCGGUUGUCCAAGCGCGUUUCGGUUGUCCAAGCACGUUUCGUUUGUCCGAAGCGCGUUUGCCACAAAAGUGCGCGAUCGUUCCAUCACGAUCUCGAUCGUUUUGCGCUUAAUCCCAGCAGCCGCCAUUCGCUUUAUGAUAUGGCUCGGUACAUCGGUACAAUGUUUACCUGUUUUUUUCUUGGUUUUUGAAGAAGCGAAAAAAACUUCGAAAAAUACCACAGGGGAGGGUGAGUGUGUGUGUGUGUGUGUGUGUGUGUGUGUGUGUGUGUGUGUGUGUGUGUGUGUGUGUGUGUGUGUGUGUGUGUGUGUGUGUGUGUGUGUGUGUGUGUGUGUGUGUGUGUGUGUGAAAAA